UACGGAAGGCAGCAGUGGGGAAUAUUGCACAAUGGGCGAAAGCCUGAUGCAGCUAUGCCGCGUGUAUGAAGAAGGCCUUAGGGUUGUAAAGUACUUUCAUCGGGGAGGAAAAAACAAAACUAAUAAUUUUAUUUCUUGACGUUACCCGAAAAAGAAGCACCGGCUAACUCCGUGCCAGCAGCCGCGGUAAUCGGAGGGUGCUAGCGUUAAUCAGAAUUACUGGGCGUAAAGAGCACGUAGGUGGUUUUUUAAGUCAGAUGUGAAAUCCCUGGGCUUAACCUAGGAACUGCAUUUUGAAACUGAAAUACUAGAGUAUCGUAGAGGGAGGUAGAAUUCUAGGUGUAGCGGUGAAAUGCGUAGAUAUCUGGAGGAAUACCUGUGGCGAAAGCGGCCUCCUAAACGAAUACUGACACUGAGGUGCGAAAGCGUGGGGAGCAAACAGGGAUUUAGAUACC
rnacentral:rRNA from 1 species